UACGUAGGGUCCAAGCAUUAUCCGGAUUUAUUGGGCGUAAAGCACAUGUAGGUGGUUUCAACAGUCUUGUCUUAAAGCUCUGGGCUCAACCCAGAAUCUGGACGGGAUACUAUGAGACUAGUGGUCAGCAGGGGCAAACAGAAUUCCCGGUGUAGGAGUGAAAUCCGUUGAUAUCGGGAGGAAUACCAAUGGCGAAGGCAGUUUGCUAGGCUGAUUCAGACACUGAGAUGUGAAAGCGUGGGGGAGCGAACGGG
rnacentral:rRNA from 1 species